rnacentral:sRNA from 1 species
CCUCAAACUUGGCCCAAAUAAGCUCUCCAGUUAGAUUAACUUUGCCUCAACUUCUUCCUUUUAUGUCAACAUACCUAAAGAGGCAGGAUUGAGAGUGACUCUCACUCACCACUGGUGUUUCUCUUUGAAAGUGGCACUUGGCACCAGCAUGAACUCCCUGUCCUCAGCAAUCCCACCAGGUGUUUUGGGUCUUCAACCUAAAAUUCUAUCUUACAAGAUCCUUGCCAGGAUUUAAGGAUCUUGAAUACCAUAGUGAAGUCUGUACAUGAAGAAGUGAUGCUUUUAGGGAGGAAAAAAAAGGUAAUACCAACCUUCAAGAGCCCCUACAUCUCAGCUCGGCAUAAACAAGGCAAGAUUCUGAGAGUGGCCGCCUCUGGAAGCAGAAAUUAUUCUUGUGGCUAUCCAUUGGCUCCUGAGGCUCUAAUCAGAGAUGGGGCCCCUUUAAUACCAGGGAGUGGCUAUUGCCCAUAAAGUACUGGACAUCAAC